rnacentral:rRNA from 1 species
AUUGAACGCUGGCGGCAGGCUUAACACAUGCAAGUCGAGCGAGCGGCGGACGGGUGAGUAAUGUCUGGGAAACUGCCUGAUGGCGGGGGAUAACUACUGGAAACGGUAGCUACUACCGCAUACCAUCAGAUGUGCCCAGAUGGGAGUAGCUAGUAGGUGGGGUAAUGGCUCACCUAGGCGACGAUCCCUAGCUGGUCUGAGAGGAUGACCAGACACACUGGAAUGGAGACAAGGUCCAGACUCCUACGGGAGGCAGCAGUGGGGAAUAUUGCACAAUGGGCGGAAGCCUGAUGCAGCCAUGCCGCGUGUGUGAAGAAGGCCUUCGGGUUGUAAAGCACAGUCAGCUAGGAGGCGUUACUCGCAGAAGAAGCACCGGCUAACACCGUGCCAGCAGCCGCGGUAAUAC